rnacentral:rRNA from 1 species
GUGGAACCGGAGAGAGUUGACGUAGUCAGGUAACUAAGUUUGCCAAAGUCGCUUAAUUGUGACCGAGGGAGAUGUAUGUUGCCUACGGCUGCGCUGACAGCGCUGGCUGCGCGUUCCGAACCGUCUGCGUUGCCCACCUCGGUGGUGUCUUGCUUUCGGGUAGGUUUGUCGUGGCUA